UAAAUAUAUUUUAUUCUUGUUCUUUUCAGUAUCCUGCCACACUUUUUGCUCACAGCAGAUCAUGAUGACAGAGUAGUUCCCCUACACUCUUUUAAGCUAAUUGCUGAGAUGCAGCACAAGCUUGCCCAGAGCCCAGCUCAAACCAAUCCUUUACAUAUUCGUAUUGAGACAAAGGCAGGCCAUGGCAGAGGAAAACCAACAGCAAAAAUUAUUGAGGAGCAUACAGACAUCUACUGUUUCAUAAUGCAGUCCCUUGGUCUGGAAGUUACAUCGACUCCAUCUGCAAGCCUUUGAGGUUUCAGUCAGUGCUACCAUAUCAAGAAGAGAAAAACAAAAGGAGAAAAAUUGUGUGCUUUGUAUAGAUAAUGAGACCAGAAAUUGUGUUAGUAAUAAUACCAAAGACUGUUUUAGGUUCCAGUAGAUAGUCUUCAAUUAUCUCUUCAAGCAUUUAUUGAUGUUAUAUUUUGGUAUAUGACAAUUUAGUCAGAAAUGGAUAAAAGUGAAAACUUAACACCUUGAUAAACAGAUAGAACUUUCAUGAACAAUUUUGUAUGAAUACAAUUCACAAAAGACAAUAAAGAAGAAAUCCUUAAC